rnacentral:rRNA from 1 species
GACGAACGCUGGCGGCGUGCUUAACACAUGCAAGUCGAACGGUGAAGCGCCUUCCUUUUUGGUGGGUGUGGAUGAGUGGCGAACGGGUGAGUAACACGUGAGUAACCUGCCCCCUUCUUCUGGAUAACCGCAUGAAAGUGUGGCUAAUACGGGAUAUUCUGGACCGGUGGCAUGAUGGGUCUGGGAAAGAUUUUGUUUCGGUGGGGGAGGGGCUCGCGGCCUAUCGGGUUGUUGGUGGGGUGAUGGCCUACCAAGGCGGUGCGGGGUAGCCGGCCUGGGAGGGUGGACGGUCACAGUGGGAAUGAGACGCGGACCAGACUACGACGGGAGGCAGCAGUGAGGAAUAUUGCACAGUGGGAGCAAGGCUGAUGCAGCGACGCGGCGUGAGGGAUGGAGGCCGUCGGGUUGAGAACCUCUUUCGCGAGUGAAGCAGGCCUGCCUAGUUUGUGGGUGGGUUGACGGUAGCUGGAGAAGAAGCGCCGGCUAACUACGUG